GCAGCGACGGUGGGAAAAAAAAUAAUGUGAACGUGCGUGUUCAUCAUCCAAUGGAGAGAUAGGGGCUUGCUUCCAUUUUUAUAUGAGAUGGAGCAGGUCGCUGCAGAUGUCGUGUGAGGGCCCGUUGAAGCUAACUCCUGGCUGGUUGUGGACUGGUGGUGUUGUGAUAUGUAGACAAAGCAUCUUUGGUUGCAUAAAACGAAUUUAGCGUGUCUUAACUGAAACUUGGUGGUUCCCUUAGCUAUAAGAUCUGGAGUUGAUCAGAUGGAUCUUGCUCAAACCAAAUAUGUCUGUAGCUUUCAGAUUGGGAGCUGUUGUCUUCAGAAAUUUAUAUCUUUAAGAUGUUUCCAUGAUUUGAGGCUAUACCACACAGCCUUUAUAUAGAUUUUUUUUUACAGAGGAUGGACCUUUUAAGUGAGACCAAUUUUUUUCCCAGAUUAUAUGGAGCCUGAUGGGUAGUAAACAUGUGUAUUUCAUUGUUUAUUUUCAGAUAUCUCUUCUCCCAUUUGCUUUGAUAGCAGAACAAUUCCAAGCCCAAUAGGUGCUAAUACAUUGUUCAAUAUUCAGGCUGCUGGACUAUGCUGCUGUUUCCAUGAGUGAUCGGCGUGCCAUCGGUCAUCGCGGCGUCACUCUUUCUGCUCCAUGACAUUUGCCUUCGCUUUGGCGGCGCAUGAGGGUUGGGCGAAUUCGUGUUCCGGUGAUUCCACACCAGCUGUUGUUGAUCCCUUUUUCGUGCCAUCUGUUGAUCAUGUUGGGGAGUCUUCUGCUGUUAAUUCUUUGACAGAUACUGAUGCUCGAAGGUUUCCAAUGUAUUAUCCAACCAACAUCAGAUACUUUGCGGGGCUCCAAGAGGGGAUUCCCGUCCUGCACUACAAUUGUUUAUCGCAUAUAGCAAACAUAAUCUAUGCUUGCCGGUGAAUCCAGAUAGCUCUACUUUUCCAUAUUAUUUUUACACUCCAAAAUUAUUUGGUUAUUUGAACUACGGAUUUGAAGGGAAAUUUUUUGUAGCAACUUCAUUUAAUUCAAAUAAAGAGCUUAUCAAAACAAGAAGUUAAAUCACACAAGCUUAACCUUAACUCUUGAAAGUAGCAUCUCUCUUGAGACGUAUGAAGAAAAGGGCUUAAAGAUGCUUGCAAUUGUUAUCUUGGAUACGUGGAUCUGGUCUUUAUGACAUUGUAUUUUGUAAUUUGCAUCUCCAAUUUAUAAUAUUUCUGUUUUAAUUUUCAGAUCUUCGCAAACAAGAGGUAUACAUGUGAGUUUUGCUUUAUCCUCAACAGACUAGCAACAUCGCUGUUUGGCAACAUGACGCUACUGGCUAAUUUGAAAUAUAGCUUCACAAUUUAGACAAAUAGAAGCAAAAGGUAUGUUGCAGACUUGCAGUAUCAGAUAUUACGUGGAUGACAUAUCUUUGGUUGCAUAAGAGAAUUUUUUGUGUCCUAGCUGAAACCAGAUGGUUUCCCUUAGCUAUAACAUCUACAGUUUGUGCAGGCAUAAUCAGGUGAAUUUUAGUGAAGCCAAUCAUAUUUGAAGUUUUCAGAUUGGUACCUACUGUCUUCAAGGAUUACAUUAUCUCUUUCUACAUUUUGCUGCUUCCCUUUGCUUUCGUAGCACAAGGAUUCCUUAGUAAAGUAAAACAAAUCCAAGCCCUACGGGUGCUAAUACACUGUUCAAAAUACAAGUUACCAACUGCUGCAAGAAAACAAUAACUUUAUGUCGACUCCAACUUACAUGAUAUAUUCCAUGACACUACUCUGUUGAAAAUAUACGAGAUCCCAUUAUGUCCUUAUCUGAUCAGAUUAGUGAUUAAAGCAUUUUUUCUUUUUAUAAACUAUGUAGUUUUUUCUGCUUUUCUUUAUUUGAUCCGCAUGUUUAGCUCUUUGCAUAAUUGUGCAUGAAACAUUAAAUGAUUGUCGAAAAGUAUUGAUUAUUGGAUAUGUUUCUGUGAUGUUGAGGAGUUGGUCUAAGGCCUUGGCAUUUCAUUUGUGCUGCUUAUUUGGUAAAUGAUGUAAUAGCCCUAAAAGACUUGAUUACGACGAUUAGUGCUUUUCAAUAUCUCUUCUCCACCAGGAGCAUGGGAGUUAAUUGGUUAUCUCCAGAUGUGUUAGUUCGCAUACGUACUCAUCCUUUCUUCCUGCAUAUUAUGUGGACAUACCCUGUCUACUCUAUUGAUUAAUGUAACUCUUCAUUCAUUUGUUUUCCAGGUUUUACUCUUUACACAAAAAACAUCCCUGCUCAUUCUACUACUGCAUGCUGCUGUCGUGUGCUGGUGUUUCUCAUAGCAAUAAGUUACACGUUAUUAUCUCUGGAGUACAACUAUGAUUUAGAUGGCGUUACUGCUACGAUAUGUAUGAUUUCUGUUACCUGCUAAUUCUCUGCAAAGGCAUAUUCAAUAGUUUCUUUUUUUGUGCUCUGCGUUGCUCUGUAUAGAAGCCUAUCACUUAUCUCAUUUAUCUUUGUAAAGAAAAUUAUCGU